rnacentral:lncRNA from 1 species
UGGAAUCUUUAUCAACCAAUAUCUAGUAUGCUCUGCAAAUGCUGUGCUAGCUAGAUGCUGUAUCUGAGACUUUCUGUGUCCUCAUUCUCUCUGUAAGAUCAGUGAUUUCCAUCUUAAAAUCUAUUGAAAAAAAAAAUGUCACUUCCCUUCCCUCUUGGAGUGCGUUCUGAUUGUCUGCUGUAGACAAGCAUGGAUGUCAUGACUCUGCCUGUGUAACACUAUUAAGGGGUGCCUCUGAGUCUUGAGAGUUUUAUGCCUAAUAAUAUGGGGCAGGACAAACAUCAAGCUUCAGUAUGCUUCUUCUAUUCUUGCUGGUCCCCAUCAAUUCUAGGCGAAGGUGGUAGAAUAGAAGCAAGGAAAAGCAAGUUAUCUUGGUGGGCAUUAUCAUUGAGAGGGAAUUAUGAAUAAUUAACAGGGGCAUUGACCAGUAACAAUGACAAAUCAUAGUGUUUCAGAGGGAAAUUAGUUUGGGAUAAACAAGGACCACGGGACAUCAGUCUGUGGUAGUUGCUAUGGCCCUUUAUGGAGUUUUCACAUUUUAAGAAGUGCUUGGUGGUGCUGCAGAAUUUUAGAAUGGAAAACAUCAUGUUCUUGAGCUGAGCUGGACACUUGGUUGUCAAUUCUUAAGAAUCUGUAAGGCAGGACAUUCUAAUAGCUUUUUUUUUUUUAGCUGUAGUUACCAUCCUCAAAUAUGAAAGUAAUUGAUACUCAGCAAUGAAAGCUGCGUAUGCAUGUGGGAGAGAAGGAGGUUUCACCAGACUGACAAAAGGAGUCAUGGUUCUGGGAAGGAGCAGGGUGUUGGGUGCACAUUUGUCACCUGGGAAUACUACCAGCAAGCCCCAUAUUUUUUCUGCAGUAAAUGCUGGAAAGGAAAAAGAAAUGCUGAAAAUGAUGAAGUAAUUCCAAUUCUGCUGAUAGAGACCUGGAAAUGCACUAGGGAAAAAUGACAAGAGUGUAACACAUUUAUUCCUACUGCUGAUUACGUCAUAAUGAUUAUUUUAUGCUGUUUGAAGAAGACUCACUGUUCUGAAGAACUAGCAUCCAUUUCCAGGAAAGACAGAGCUGGGAUUCUCAAUCCAUACUCCAUGGGAUGAACCACAUUGAAAAUAAUGAUUUCCUUCUAAUAGCUUACUCUACAUUAUCUACAGAAUUCCUUGGGAUUCUACAGAAACCUAAUAAUAUAGUAGUAAUAAUAAUAACAGAGGUUUGUUUUUGCUAUGUGUUAUCUAAUAUUCAGAUUGUGAGCAGCUGUUUUGGAAGGCAAGAAGAGUGAAUGGAUGUGAAGUCAUCUUAGAAAUGUCCAGGUUUCCAAAAGAAAUUUCACUUUUAAAAGAAAAUAGCCUAAUGUGAACCACAUUAGAAUCAGCACAUCUAAU